rnacentral:rRNA from 2 species
GGACGCAAGUCUGAUGGAGCAACGCCGCGUGAGUGAAGAAGGCUUUCGGGUCGUAAAACUCUGUUGUUGGAGAAGAAUGGUCGGCAGAGUAACUGUUGUCGGCGUGACGGUAUCCAACCAGAAAGCCACGGCUAACUACGUGCCAGCAGCCGCGGUAAUACGUAGGUGGCAAGCGUUAUCCGGAUUUAUUGGGCGUAAAGCGAGCGCAGGCGGUUUUUUAAGUCUGAUGUGAAAGCCCUCGGCUUAACCGAGGAAGUGCAUCGGAAACUGGGAAACUUGAGUGCAGAAGAGGACAGUGGAACUCCAUGUGUAGCGGUGAAAUGCGUAGAUAUAUGGAAGAACACCAGUGGCGAAGGCGGCUGUCUGGUCUGUAACUGACGCUGAGGCUCGAAAGCAUGGGUAGCGAACAGGAUUAGAUACCCUGGUAGUCCAUGCCGUAAACGAUGAAUGCUAGGUGUUGGAGGGUUUCCGCCCUUCAGUGCCGCAGCUAACGCAUUAAGCAUUCCGCCUGGGGAGUACGACCGCAAGGUUGAAACUCAAAGGAAUUGACGGGGGCCCGCACAAGCGGUGGAGCAUGUGGUUUAAUUCGAAGCAACGCGAAGAACCUUACCAGGUCUUGACAUCUUUUGAUCACCUGAGAGAUCAGGUUUCCC